GGCAGCAGCUAAGAAUAUUCCGCAAUGCACGAAAGUGUGACGGAGCGACGCCGCGUGGACGAUGAAGGCCGGAAGGUUGUAAAGUCCUUUUUAAUAUGAGGAAUAAGUAAGGUGAGAGAAACGCCUUAUGGUGACUGUAGUAUUAGAAUAAGGGGCGGCUAAUUACGUGCCAGCAGCCGCGGUAACACGUAAGCCCCGAGCGUUGUUCGGAAUUAUUGGGCGUAAAGGGCAUGUAGGCGGUUUUGCAAGUCUGGUGUGAAAGGCAGGAGCUCAACUCCUGGACUGCGCUGGAAACUGCAUGACUUGAGUUUCUGAGGGGCACUCGGAAUUCCUGGUGUAGGGGUGAAAUCUGUAGAUAUCAGGAAGAACACCGGUGGCGAAGGCGGGGUGCCAGCAGAAGACUGACGCUGAGGUGCGAAGGUGCGGGGAGCAAGCAGGAUUAGAUACCCUGGUAGUCCGCACAGUCAACGAUGCACACUGGGUGUCCGCACAUAAGUGUGGGUGCCGAAGCAAACGCGAUAAGUGUGCCGCCUGGGGAGUAUGCCCGCAAGGGUGAAACUCAAGGAAUUGACGG
rnacentral:rRNA from 1 species